rnacentral:lncRNA from 1 species
AAAAAGAGAAAAAUUCUUAAUGAAUCAAAAAGAGUUAAGUUGUGGGUUAUCAUUAAAGAGAAAUCAAGAAAUGAUGCUCAAGGCUCAAAGGGGUUCACUAAAGGUUAAUUAUGUGGGUAGGCUUUUUAUGGAGUAAGUAGGUUAAAACCUAAGUGCCUUCAUCUUCUUAGUAUAUCAAGUCAAAGGUGUGGUCUCGACAUGGAUAAUCGAUGCAAGUUCUAGAAUAACAAAUUAGUAUUGACUCAGUCAUAACCAUUAAUAAAAG